UACGGGGGGGGCAAGCGUUGUUCGGAAUUACUGGGCGUAAAGCGCGCGUAGGCGGCUUUUCAAGUCAGACGUGAAAUCCUUAGGCUUAACCUGAGAACUGCGUUUGAUACUGUUGGGCUAGAGUGUGGAAGGGGCUACUAGAAUUCCAGGUGUAGCGGUGAAAUGCGUAGAUAUCUGGAGGAAUACCGGUGGCGAAGGCGGCAUCCUGGACCAUUACUGACGCUGAGGCGCGAAAGCGUGGGGAGCAAACAGG
rnacentral:rRNA from 1 species